rnacentral:rRNA from 1 species
AGAGUUGAUCCUGGCUAGGACGAACGCUGGCGGCGUGCCUAACACAUGCAAGUCGAACGGAGAGCAUAUGAAGUAUUCGGUACGGAAUGCGUUCUAGUGGCGAACGGGUGAGUAACACGUGGGCAACCUGCCCCAGACUGGGGGAUAACAUUGUGAAAACAGUGCUAAUACCGCAUGACAGGGUUCCGGGCAUCCGGGACUCUUGAAAGGAGAAAUCCGGUCAGGGAUGGGCCCGCGCCCAAUUAGCUAGUUGGUGGGGUAACGGCCCACCAAGGCGACGAUUGGUAGCCGAACUGAGAGGUUGAUCGGCCACAUUGGGACUGAGACACGGCCCAGACUCCUACGGGAGGCAGCAGUGGGGAAUAUUGGGCGAUGGGCGAAAGCCUGAACCCCAGCGACGCCGCGUGAAGGAUGAAGGUCUUCGGAUUGUAAACUUCUUUGAUCAGGGAAGAAAGAAAUGACGGUACCUGAAAAACAAGCCACGGCUAACUACGUGCCAGCCGCAGC